rnacentral:rRNA from 1 species
GACGAACGCUGGCGGCGUGCCUAACACAUGCAAGUCGAGCGAAUGAAGUUCCUUCGGGAAUGGAUUUAGCGGCGGACGGGUGAGUAACACGUGGGCAACCUGCCUCAUAGAGGGGAAUAGCCUCCCGAAAGGGAGAUUAAUACCGCAUAAGAUUGUAGUACCGCAUGAUACAGCAAUUAAAGGAGCAAUCCGCUAUGAGAUGGGCCCGCGGCGCAUUAGCUAGUUGGUGAGGUAAUGGCUCACCAAGGCGACGAUGCGUAGCCGACCUGAGAGGGUGAUCGGCCACAUUGGGACUGAGACACGGCCCAGACUCCUACGGGAGGCAGCAGUGGGGAAUAUUGCACAAUGGGGGAAACCCUGAUGCAGCAACGCCGCGUGAGUGAUGACGGCCUUCGGGUUGUAAAGCUCUGUCUUCAUGGACGAUAAUGACGGUACCUGAGGAGGAAGCCACGGCUAACUACGUG